rnacentral:lncRNA from 1 species
AUAUUAAUGAGGCUUUUGAUGUCUUCUUUAAACUGACAUCAAAGAAAAAAUGACAUUAAGGACCUUUAAUAACGCUAGCAUAGAUGGCGGUUGUCAACCGACACUAAAGGCCAUAAUGUCGGUUUAAAGGCCAAAGUUCUUGUAGUGUUUUCUCAGGUGUUGCAGCCGGAAGGAUUCAUCUUCACCUUCUUCCAUGUGCCACAGCUGAAAUGAUUCAUAUUCAUCUUCCAUGUGCCGCAACCGAGAGGGUCAUCAUCUUCAUCUUUGAUGUGCCGCAAUUGAAAGAAUUCAUCUUCCUCUUCCUCCAUGUGUCGCAGCCGAGAAGAUUCAUCUUUAUCUGCUACCAUGUGCCGCAACCGAGAGGAUUUACCUUCAUCUUUCCUCAUGUGUCGCAACCAAGAGGAUUCAUCUUUAUCUUCUCCCAUGUGCUGCAGUCGAGAGGAUUUAUCUUAAUAUUCUCUCAUGUGUUGCCUGAAAGGAUUCAUC